rnacentral:pre_miRNA from 17 species
CAGAAGAUGGAUUUUGGCAGCUCCCAGCUAUGAGAACUGAAUUCCAUGGGCUGGUUGCACACUUUAUUUCUCAGUCCAUAGUAGACAGUUCUCCAGCUUGGCUGCUUCGUCCUUCAGCAUUUCUU